UCACCAGCACCUAUUUUCAACAAUUAUAGGAUAUCUUCAACUGCGCAGAUAUUCCAACUCUAGUAGAAAACCUGAUUCAGGUUCCAUUUUUUGCAUUUAUUUUUAUCGUGCUCAUCGGAGUUGACGCGACAGAGGAGACUGAAACGCGUUUGUCUAUUAAAUAAUUAAAAUCCCUGGGCGAGACAUCCAAUUUGAGGGCAGAAGCUGGCUAGCUCUCUGUUUUAAGCGCCUAAAGGCUGGUGUUGUCACAGUUAGUCCAUUGUUGGGAGGAGGGGUGAGCAAAGGUGUAGAAAGGGGCUCACACACUCAGUGUCAACUCCCAAAACAGGGUUACAAAAUGUCCAAAUGAGAACCACCUGAGCCUGAGAGAACUCAGUAGCGGCCAACCUGAGAAGCAGCUCUGGGCCAAGGGUGAAGUAGAGGCUGCAGAUAUUAAAAGGAAAAGAGUCAUUAAAGUCCUCAUCGCCUUUGAUGCUUCAGUGCCCCAACUACACAGGAGCCGAGAGAGGAGGCCCAUGGCCAGGAGUCGAGAGAGGAGGGAGGACCAUGGCCAUGAGUCGAGAGAGUAGGACCACGGCCAGGGACAAGUGGUCCUGAGUCCAGUGGAACUUCGUCCGCCCACAUUCUUACCUCCGAAAAUGUCACCCGGGAGGCUGUCCAGAUGAUGCCAAACCAUCCAGGACAGUUUGAAUGUAACUUGGGAUUUUUCCUCCAAGUUCCUCCUCUGCUUCUGGGGUUAAUAAAAUGC